GCCUGGGUGGCUCAGUGGUUGAGCAUCUGCCUUUGGCUCAGGUCAUGAUCCCAGGGUCCUGGGAUCAAGUCCCACAUCAGGCU
rnacentral:tRNA from 1 species